CUUUUUAACAGUUAUUGCAGUAGCAGCCUAACUGGUCUUCCUGUCCUCAGACCUCCACCUUCAGUCCACCCAUCACCCUGUUGAAAGAUUAUUCUUAUAUCACAAGGCUCAUUAUGACGCUCUAUUCAGAAGCCAACAAUUGCUCUCAGCUGCCUACAGAAUAAAAUUCAAAUUACCUUUUUUCUAUAAGAAUCUGAGGUGGGCCUUUUCAGUCUUUCACCAGAGUAUCUUUCACUGCAUACUAUAGUUCUUCAAUUCUAAGGUGCCAUUGAUUAUGACAGAUCAUUGAUUUAGUAACAGUUUUUGAGUCAGGGACCAAGGGGAAGGGUGGAACCUACUCAUCAUGGAUAAGAUACAUCAUUGAUUUCACAAUUAUUAAAAUGUGAAGAAACUGGGUCUCAAAUCAGUGUUCCUAAGAACCAAAUAAAUACUAGUCGAAGUGAAAGUGAAGUUUCAGCCAGGAAGGUCAACAGACGUCUUCAAGAGUGCUUUGAAAACAAGUGGGAAGAAAAUUACCUCCUUGUGGAAAACCUACGGGGCCCUGUCACCUGGAAUAGGUCUAUGAUUUUGGUUUUCACUCAGGCCUCAUUUCCCUUAUAAGAAGAAUGAAAUAAGCUAAUGCAUAAAAGUGGCUUAGCAGACGGCCUGCCACAUGGUCAACUUAAAUAAAAAUGAUUAUUUGCUCUAGGGGGAUUUGGUGAGAUAAUUGUCAAUAAUUGAGAAAUAAGGGAAAUAAGAUUUUUUUCUGAUACUUAACCUUGAAAUUAAAUUCAAAUAAAUGGUGGAACAUUCAUACAAUAUAAUAAUACAUACCUGUUAAAAUGAUAACAUACAUUUGUAGUUAUUGAUAUGGAAAAAGGUCUAUAGAAUAUUGUUGCAUAAAAAAGUAGGUUAUAAAAAUCAUGUAUAAUGUGACUUUUCUUUUUCUUUUUAAAUUCACG
rnacentral:lncRNA from 1 species